rnacentral:rRNA from 1 species
UACGGAGGGGGCUAGCGUUGUUCGGAAUUACUGGGCGUAAAGCGCACGUAGGCGGCUCUGAAAGUCAGAGGUGAAAUCCCCAGGCUCAACCUGGGAAUUGCCUUUGAUACUGCUGAGCUAGAGGCCGGGAGAGGGUAGUGGAAUUCCCAGUGUAGAGGUGAAAUUCGUAGAUAUUGGGAAGAACACCGGUGGCGAAGGCGGCUACCUGGACCGGUACUGACGCUGAGGUGCGAAAGCGUGGGGAGCAAAC